UGGGGAAUUUUGGACAAUGGGCGAAAGCCUGAUCCAGCAAUGCCGCGUGUGUGAAGAAGGCCUUCGGGUUGUAAAGCACUUUUGUCCGGAAAGAAAUCCUUGGCUCUAAUACAGUCGGGGGAUGACGGUACCGGAAGAAUAAGCACCGGCUAACUACGUGCCAGCAGCCGCGGUAAUACGUAGGGUGCAAGCGUUAAUCGGAAUUACUGGGCGUAAAGCGUGCGCAGGCGGUUUGCUAAGACCGAUGUGAAAUCCCCGGGCUCAACCUGGGAACUGCAUUGGUGACUGGCAGGCUAGAGUAUGGCAGAGGGGGGUAGAAUUCCACGUGUAGCAGUGAAAUGCGUAGAGAUGUGGAGGAAUACCGAUGGCGAAGGCAGCCCCCUGGGCAAUACUGACGCUCAUGCACGAAAGCGUGGGGAGCAAACAGGAUUAGAUACCCUGGUAGUCCACGCCCUAAACGAUGCCAACUAGUUGUUGGGGAUUCAUUUCCUUAGUAACGUAGCUAACGCGUGAAGUUGACCGCCUGGGGAGUACGGUCGCAAGAUUAAAACUCAAAUGAAUUGACGGGGUCAUAGCUGUUUCCU
rnacentral:rRNA from 1 species